rnacentral:lncRNA from 1 species
AAGACUAUAGAGACUUCACAAGGCACAGAAAUGGGAUCUGACAUGAGUUACAACCACAGGUUCAUCACUGUCCCUGGUGUGAACCAUGGUUGCUCCAAGCAAAGCCAUGGAACUUUCCAAACUAAGAAUUUAAGAUCUCAGAACUUCUCUUGACAGGGUAUUGAUCUAUGGAAUAACUUUAACAAUAAAACUGGCCUGAGAAAGGAUGUGGAGAGACAUGAAACAACAGGAUGAGCAACAUCAUGGAGGAGAAACACGUUUCUUAUAUGUAGGGGGAGAACCAGUGUAUAGACCUAGGGGACCAGGAUAAACAAAUGAAGUGG